AAGUCGUAACAAGGUUUCCGUAGGUGAACCUGCGGAAGGAUCAUUAUCAAAAGAUAUUUUCCCUCCUCCCCUUGUGUAUCUCCUCCAUGUUGCUUCCACUAGGCAGGCAUACAUAUGAUUGAAUAUCAAUCAAUAUUCAAUGGUAUUUAUGCCCUUCAUCCAUUCUAAUACUAAUGGUUGAAGAAGUGUCAGUGGAUAGCCUUACGUAUAAGAAAACCAUUUGUAAUAGCUAGUAUAGUCUGACUUUAUGUUAAAAUAAAUGAAAAAAACUUUCAACAACGGAUCUCUAGGCUCUUGCAUCGAUGAAGAACGCAGUGAAAUGUGAUAAGUAAUGUGAAUUGCAGAAUCUCGUGAAUCAUCAAAUCUUUGAACGCACAUUGCGCCCAGUGGUAUUCCAUUGGGCAUACCUGUUUGAGUGUCAGAGUCUUCAUAAUUAUCAAACUUUUAUGUCACACGCAUAAAGAUGUUUGGAAUAAGAUUUGAGAAAAGUAUACUAAUAAUGUUGCUUAUACUUUCUUAAAAAUAAGAAAUCAUUUGGUUGAGUUUUCUUCACACCCAUUUUGUAUAUAAUAUAACAAAUGAGUAUGAGUGAUAAACAUG
rnacentral:rRNA from 2 species